CGCGCCCGCUCUUAAGGGAAAAAUAAAGUGGAUACCACGGACAUGCAAUACAACCCGCUGCAACGGUGUAGCCCAAUUUCGCGGGAAAACCGCGGACUUGGCAACACUGCAGUUCUGUCGUCUGCCGCUUUAAAUGCUCCAGAGUCCAGUAAAUUCUGAUAGUUCCUAUCGCGGUGACGUCAUCGACGUCGGUGAAAUUGACGGGCCACCUGUCGGUGGAAUGGACCUCGCCUUUAAGAAGCUCCUGCAGGAUGAAAACCGGAGCUGUUCACAACACAUGGUGCUGAACGACGCCGACACACGCCGAGACAUUAGAGAGAGCGAAGACAACAGCGCAGAAACACUGUUUAUGCCGGAGAGCAUCCGAACAGUUUGAAGAGCCGCUGCUUGGGUCAGAUCUGGCGUGUUACGCAGCAAGAGGCCUUAAUGAGGAGACGUGUCAUAGGAGAACCUGCUCCAUUCGAGUCUCGUAGCAAAGGU
rnacentral:lncRNA from 1 species